rnacentral:rRNA from 1 species
GUCCCUUACGAAUUUGAAUAUAUCCUAAAACCUUUCGUUCUAUUAACGUUAAAAAAGCUACUCUUACUAAAACUCCAACAAUUAAAAUAAUAAAAACUAAUAAUAUUAAAAUUAAAUCAAUUAUUAUUUGUAUAAAAUACAUAAAAAGAUCCUAAAUCUAACGCACUAUUCUGCCAAAAUAAUAAAUUACUUAUAUUCAUAUAAAAAAUUAUAAAUUAUAAAUUUGGUCCUUUCGUACUAAAAUUUAUUAAUUUAAUAAAGAUAGAAACCAACCUGGCUUACACCGGUUUAAACUCAGAUCAUGUAAAGUUUUAAUGGUCGAACAGACCAAAUAUUUAAGCUUCUACACCUAAAAUUAACUUUAAUCCAACAUCGAGGUCGCAAUCUCUUUUUUCGAUAAGAACUCUAAAAAAAAAUAACGCUGUUAUCCCUAAGGUAAUUUAUUCUUUUAAUCAUUUAUAUGGAUCAAAUACUCAUAAAUUAAUGUUUUUUUUAAAAAAAAGUUAUUUUAAUUUUUUAAUCACCCCAAUCAAAUACAAGAUAAUAUUAUAAAAUAAUAAAUUCUAAAUUUUUAAAUAUUAAAUUAUAUUAAACUCUAUAGGGUCUUCUCGUCUUUUAUUAAUAUUUAAGCUUUUUAACUUAAAAAUAAAAUUAUUUAAAAAUUAAAUAUAGAAAGAAAUUUUCUCAUCAAACCAUUCAUACAAGCUUUCAAUUAAAAAACUAAUGAUUAUGCUACCUUUGCACAGUCAAAAUACUGCGGCCCUUCAAAUUAUAUUCAGUGGGCAGGCCCUACUUUAAAUUAUUUAUCAAAAAGAGAUGUUUUUGUUAAACAGGCG